CAGCCCUCAGGUUCUGAGCACCCAAGGCAGCAACACCCAGGACAAUGGGGUCCCCUUCUGCCGGUUCAGGGGCACCGCUCCUGGGCAGCUGGCCCCGCGCAGGGUAAGGUCAGUGUAUUUGGCAACAUCACCACUGGGAGCCCCAGGAGUCCUGACAUCCUUGAGCUGCUCACCCUGAGGACUGUGAUGACUAAGAACUAAACGUGUCUGGUGCCCGCCCCCUGGCUCCAACUCUCUUGUGCGGCUGCGAGGGGAGAGGACUGAUCCUCAGCCCCGUGUCCUCUCCAUUGCGGCCUGUCCCACCACGGGAUGGCCACCCGAACAAAGACGGCCACUGCUCUCAGCGAGUGCACACACGUGACAGAGAGAGGGAAGGCUGGAGGUGAGAGGAACAUAGAGCCAAUCAUCGUCAUUUUUCUAAAUGACACCUGUUCGGUCACCUCGUAUCUGCUGGGCUGGAAUAUCCCGACGACGCAGGAUGCUCGAGCCCACACAGGAGACUGCGCUGCCUGCAGUCACAUCACUUCUAUGGAGAAAACUCUUGUUUUCCAUGCAGCGUGACUUCCCAUGCCGCCACGGCGCCUCUUUGUCCUGGAGACUGAAAUGGCCUUGGAAGAGGGCAGGGAGGCGGCGGCAACCAGGAGGACGAGGAGGAUGGCCCCGCAGCACAUCGGGCCCUGCUUGCUCACAGCCCCGCCCACGCCCUCCCGCCCCCGAGUCCGCACCAGGCACCGCUCCCUGAGCAAUUCCUGAGGCUUCUCGGAGACACCCCCCUCGAGAUCCCCCAGGGACAUGUUGGAAAACGUGCUCAGACCUGAGCAGAGGAAGAGGUCCCAUCCAGUACCAAGGUGGCGUCAGAAACCAGGGAGAAGUGGGGCGUAUUCUGGACCCACUCACUUGCUGAGGGAAAAAGAAAUGCUGGCUUUCAUGGGCAGAGCGGGCCGGAUCCGAGAUCCAGCUGGGAUGGGCCAGGAGGGGGGCCUCCUGCCGGGAAGCCGCUAGGACCUGGGUGCUGGCCUAACUGUCGCAAUGUCCCCGGGGCCCCAGCAGAGGGGCCGAGCCCAGGAAGAACCUGCAAACGCAUCGUCAGAUCGCGCCAUCGAACUGCUCGCAGCGCCGGGCAACCAGAGGAGGGGCCCUUAUGUCUUCCUCAUCUUCUCAUCUCUAGUCUUGCACUGGCCAGUGGG